rnacentral:misc_RNA from 1 species
AUGACGGUUUGCCCUUUUCCUGUGUUUAGCUUUUUUUUUUUUUAUGCUAAUGUGAGUUUUGUGCUUCUAAAAAAAGAUAUAGGUAUAAUAUAACCUCAUUUAGGCAAUUAAACUUAUUUGGGAUUUAUUUAUAUGCAGUCGUUAGUGUGUCGAUGUCUUUAUUAAAGGUUUGCUAACUACCUAAAAUCUAUUAUGGAUAAAUAAAAAAAUGACAUUUCUCGAUCUUAACUGUUGAUUAGAGUUGUAGAGUGGUGUCUACAAACAGACACAAUGCCAGCUGUCGUGGUUGUAGACAGACCUCCCCAGAGGAGUGAAGCCAUGUGGUUGGCUCUCAAGGCACACAUCAUCAGGGAACGACAAAAGAAAAAACAAGAACAAGAAGCAGAUGCUGAGGUGGAACGACAACGUAAAGAGAGGGAACGUCAACAGAAGCAAGACAAAAUGACUCUGGGAGAGACUCGGGAACAGAUUUCUCAGUUGGAGCAGAGACUGCAACAGCUGAAGGAAGAGAAACAUCAGCUGUUUCUGCAGCUCAAGAAAGUAUUGAAUGAAGAUGAUAACAGGAGAAGGCAGCUUGUUAAGGAAUCCAACGAUGUCAUGGAGAUGUACGGCUACCCAGGAGUGGCCUUGGGAAAUCCACAGCUGUUCCUUCAACAGAAUAUUCCCCUGACCAAUCGCAACCCCCUUUACAAAGUGCCACCCUCGCACACUCUACUGCAAGCGGGAACACUGAAGAGAAGAAGAAGUCCUUCUCCUGCCAACUACCCACAAUACGGCACUUACAAGCCAGCUACCAGCCAGGCCACAUACCAGAAAGUGGAGGACAGAAGCAGAGGUCAUGAGUACGUGCGUGCGGUUUUGUGGAAUAAGCCCUACGGUUUGACCGAGAGUAGUCAGUAUGGACCAUUCUACACAACCUCCACGACCAUGAGUUACUCUGCAGCCCCCGCUCCUACCCAGGCACAGACUGUGUACACGUAUGGCGGACCGCAGUUUCAGGCCUCGUCUAGCAGUUCGGCUGCCCCGCCUCCGGCCACCGAGACCACCAACCCCACACCCAAACACCACUACAUGGCUCAACAACGGCCCCACAACCCAUCUUAUCUUCAUGUGACGAUUGAUGCUAAACAACCUUUUCCGGAGGAGAACUUCUACUCCCCCGCUCAGAUCCGGCCGGCUACUCAUGUACCGUUGCAUGGCGGAGCAAUUCCAAUACAGCAACCUCCUCAGGGAGCCAAAACUGGAGGGAUAACUUCAGGCUAUCCGAUCCGACCUCCAGCCUCCGCACCGACUGCUACCACUCCACAUAGUGUGUACGUGAGCCAGCCGUCGAGUGGCAGUCGGCUGGUGUACAGCCAGUCGGUUACAACACAGCCAGCCGGUUUAUCGAACAUCCGGUACAGUGUUCCACCCAUGCAGAGGGAGGCAUAGACCAGGGAGCGUUCCGUAGUUUACCUGUGCACAUUAAAAACGUCAGCUGUUUCUCAGAAAUAAAUAUGACGAAACUCAUUCAUACUAGUACUCCCAGUUCACCCCUUCAUUGGUCAAGUAUUGGGCUUGGCUUCAACAGAUCGACAUUGUGAUUGGUCUGCUAAUUGUAUGUAUGAAGGGUAAUUUUUUUGUGUAACAAUGUUCACUUCUUGAUGUUCUCAUCCCACUUCAUGUAAUGAUUUUUAAACUAGUAAUGUUUUAAUUUAUAAUAAAUAAUUGACGUAAAAAAUAUAUGGUAGGGGCAAAAAAUGUAUACAAUUUUGUUCUUCUAUUGUGUCAAUAACUUUUCUGAAUUUCAAAAUGAAAUGAGAACAAAAUUUAAUUAUGAUUAUUGAAAGUAAGAAAAUAGUAUUAUAGGAAUUAAUUCUUUUUUUAUUAUUUAAAAAUACUUAGGUUGUGAAAUUUUAUUUUACAGCUAAAAAUCCUGUAGUGGCAGGCUAUUUAUGGUCAGUUUAUGAGCACUUAUUCUAAAUUAUCCCUACAUUUCAAAUACUGUUUUUAUAAUUAUAUUAUUGGUUGCUUUCUCAGUAAUAUUUUUAGGAUAAUAAAACAUACUAAUAAAUAUAAUUCGUUGAUAUACAUAUUUUUCACAUUAGAUACAACUUGAAAUUAAAGAAAUUAACUUAUGUAAGGGAAUUAGGCUUCAUAGAUGUUUAACUAUGUUUACCAUUCAUCACGUAAUAAAUCAAAUUCAACCAUAGAAAUAAAUGUUUUACUAAAAGAAAAUAAGGGCACAGUAAUUGUGCACUCAGUUAGAAGAUGGGAAUGACAACAACAAAUGAUCGUAAAUAACAGCUGUUUAGAAGAGAGAAUAAGAACAAAAAAGGGUUUUAGCUGAGAAAAAACUCUUCAUCGUUUCAGUGGUACUUAAAUAUCAUAGCUAAACUUGAUAUUAAAUGUUAUAUCAAAUUAAUCAUUUGUCGAUGUCAUGAUGUUCAAUUUUAACAACUGCCAUUACAGCAGCGGUUCAUGUCGUUGAAAAUUGAACGACUGCCAACUUCAAGGUUAAGAACCAUCAUGAUUUUAUUCCAUAAGAGCAAGAUAAAUCCAUGAUUAUAUCUUUAUUUUAAAAAUAUUUUAAGGAUUAUUUUUAAACUUAUCUCAAAUUGUUUUUUUAUGAUUGGCCUUAAACUAGAAUAAAAUGAUUUGUAUUCCCUUUUUUAUGUUGGAUGUCUCCUUGCGUAUAUAUUUUUUGUUAUGUGGUACCGUAAUUUUAAUUUUGUGUUCAGUUUUUAACAAUUUUGGCAACCAAUUUGUGAACGGGACAAUAUUCCUAGAACUAGUCUCCUCAGUAAAAGAAAUUUAAUUUAUAACUGUAAAGGAAUGAGACAUCUUCCUUAACUCUAUGAGAAAAAAUAAACCUGUAAAUGCGUUUUGAGAUUUAACUGUGUUCUUAUGGAGUAAAACUCAAGGCAACUGGUGAGCUGCUCUUCCGCAAAUGUCUCAUGAAUUUUAUAAUGUCCCUAUAGUCUGUAUAAAGAAUAGUAACAUUUCUUGUGAUUUAUUUAUGUGAGUAAGAUAUUUGUAUGUAUUUAAUACAUUACAAACUUUUCAACUUAGUUUUUUCAGCAAUUUCGUGUACAAAAAUGAAUGCUAUUAAUUGGUUUCUCUGGAUAUUUGAUUACAUUUUAUGAAAUGUAUGUUUUGACAUUAAAUACGAGGCACGUCCAGAAAGUAAGUGUACUGGUACUCUCACAGCUGCAGGGAAUACAUUUUUGACAUGUUGGCAAUACUGCCGCGUAGCCUGAAUCCUCCACUUCAAAACGAGACCAAUCCGAAGUUAGAGUGUUGAAAACUCCUGACACAGUAACAUCUCUCGCGAAAAAUGUCGAUUGUAUCUCCCGUUAAGUGCGAAAUCCGCGCCGACAUUGUCUCAAUUGAAGUUUUCAAUCCUGAAAACUUGUCUCAAUUGAAAAAGACAUGCAUCCUUACAAUUCCCCUAAGAGGAGAUAAUUUUCGGCUGGUUUAUAUCUGCUUGUAAAACCUACAUUGAGUACUGCAAAAGUUGAUGUAUCACCUACAUUUACUCACAGACUGAGGAUGGCAUGAGGCUGAAGCAGAGUUAGUGCUUCUUCCAAGGUGAUAUGAUGGAGAUUGUGUCCACCUCAAGGUGGGAAUAAUCUGUCCACAAUUUUGAAAAAAUCUGACAUUAAAAAAUGUAAAUGGUUUAAUAAAUAUUUUGAUUGGUAAGUUGAAUUAAAUACAUUUGACAAUUUUAUUAUUGUUUAGGUACAAUUCGUUUAUUAAUUUUGUGUUAAUUUAGAUGGAAGAAAAUGUAGUGCAGUUAGUUUUAGUUACUUUUAUAACCUCGAUUCAAAUGUUUUACUGUGUUUAUGUUGAUUAAAGUGAUUUGUAUCUGAAUAUGGGA